CAGGCUACUGAUUUCCAUUUUGGCUUCUGGGAUAUUUCAUGUUCCCUUGAGAGUGGUGCCAGACCCAGGAAAUCAAAUUGCUCUCUGCUCGUCCAAGGCAGUGGCCAUGAACGUGACCCCACAAAAAAGCAGUCAACGAAAAGUCCACAGGUGGUCUCCCUGAACUCUGCUUCUCGCAGGCACCAGCUAUCUUCUCUGGUCACAACCCAAGUCCACACCCAAGGCUCAGGUCCACAUGACUCCCA